UUCCUGUCUGAAUGUGGCGAAGUACCCGGCUGGAAUAGAGUUACGUGUCAAUCAAUCCGGUUCGGUUUUUUUCGAUUUUCUAUCUGUUCCUGUCCUCACUUGCGAGCAAUUAGCCCUCCAGCGCCAUCAAGAACAAACCGAGGAUCAAAGGGGCCACCAGCACCUUCCCCUUGGUAGGAUGGGCUUCGAGCACUGUCGCAAUCCUUCAAUGGUACUGCCAUUGUGGCUGCUUUGAUCCUUAAAAAUUGUAUUUUGAUUUGAGUUUUGACUGUGGUUUCUGUGCACACAUCUAUUUAUUUUAAGUGAUGAUAAAAUUACAAAAUGCAUGUAAUUUUAUGUUAAAAGAUUUUUUUAGGGUUUUAAUUUCUCAGCACCAGGUCAAUUAAAAAAACACCGAACCAGAAAAAAUUGAAUCAAAAUCAAACCAAAUAAAGAAAAGAAAACCAUAGCAAACUGAACUAAAUCGAAAUGAAUAGUAAUAUAUCAGUUGGUUUUUCAUUUUGACAAAAAAAAACUGAACCGAUGGAAAUUGAACUCACCACUAAUGAUCAAGGUUCUAAAAAACCCUAGGCGCUAGUCGGGCAGCGGGCUGAGGCCGAGUGCCUAGGCGGCCAGGCGGGGUUUAGGCGGGGCGCCUAGAUGGACUAGGCGGAUUUAAGUAAAUCCAUUAUAUUUCGUGUAAAUAAAUGUCGGCUUAUACUUAAAAUAUAUAUAAUUUCAUCAUAAACUACAAAAUAGAAUGAUAUAUAUAUAUAUAUAUAUAUGUGUGUAUGUGUGUGUAUAUAUAUAUAUUAUGAAUUAUUGGAACAUAAUGAAAACAUGGGGAACAAGCAUAUAAUAUGUGUUCAUUUAAGUAUUUAACAAGUCUCUUACAAUUUAUUGAAAAAAAUAAAAUACAAAAUGAAGUUAUCUAUUUUCUAAGUGAGUCGCAACCUAGGCGGGCUAGACGAGUACCUAGGCGGUUUAGGCGAGCGCCUUAGUAGGUGUAGGUGCUUUUUCUUAAUUUUCAAAUGCAUAGGCAUUAAUCGGGACGAUGGCCAGCUGUCUAGCGCCUAGACGGGGCCUAAAACGGGAAUUUUUAGAACCGUGCUAAUGAUUGAUUUAGUUCUGAAAGUAUAAUUAUCAUAACACCAAGAUAAAAACAUUUAUAAAUGCUGAUUAAGUUAAGCUAAUAUAGAAGGUCAAGCAGUUAGAUUGCCACGAAGCCCUUGACCUCUUUAUCAUUUAGAAUGACUUCACAAGGACUAGAGAUUUAAAUGACUUCACAAGCUCUUGACCUCUUUAUGCAUAUGUUGGUUAUGCAUAAUUGUCGAGAAUGGUAAAAUAGUUAAGAAAAAAAUAGAAAAUAACUGAAACUAUCGUCUGACUAAUCACCACUAAAAUGGAAAGUCUGCAGAUAGGAUUAAAAGCACACUACAAAGUAGCACACAAAUGUCCUAUUGAUGUUCCUUAUUAACACUAAGUUUGUCAAUUGUAGCAUAUGAAAAUAAAGGUCUUUCCCGCAGAAGAUUGUUUUGUCUCUACUGACCAGCCAUCGAAAAAUAAUUAUUAGACCGACUUACACUUAUAUAAAGUCUACGAAAUUUUAUAUACAGAUACUAGACACACAGAGGUACAUUUACACAAAGUUUUAGGAUUUUUGGAGUUGAUUUGCUAUUAGAAUUAAAUCGAACAACAACAGGACAUAAGCGAAUUUUAAAUAAUAAAAAUAGAUUGUAGUUCACAAGUUAAGAAAACAAGUUAGGGGAACUGCUAUCCACCACCAAAUUAUCAUGCAAACAUGUUAUGUUUCAUUCAAACUCCUUUUAUUUCCAGAUGAAGAUGCUCAAGUUGGCUCAAUGUUAGAACUCAACAUAUACUCUUUCUUAUGUAGUAUGUUAAGAGAAUGACAUUUUCAACUUAACUAGUCCCUAACAUGCAAUCUAGAAUGGCGUGUUCAUAGAUUUAAUAAGUAGAAAUCAUUAAGAAUGAAAAGAGUUUGAGUCAUCACAAGGCAUCGUAAGUACUAGUGUUGUCUUACUUAUCCUAGAAAUUGGUUCACAUGUUAAUCACAAUUAACAAGUACUAUUCUAGAACAUAUGUAGGACCUCAUUCGACAAGAGCAGACACACACAUAUUUAUAGCAUUAGAAUACUAGAUAUGCUUACUACGUAUGCAUCCAUAGAGAACACAUAAAGAAUUCAUCACUAACAUAAGUAGUGAAUCAAUUUUCAUCCUUUCAUAAAAGUAAUUCAAACCAAAUGUCACAACAAACUUGCAAUCACAUUCGGGGGCUUCAAAACAGCCCCUAACGACAAAAAAUUUAGUUACACAUAAUUCUCAAAUUAAACCAAAAGUAAAACAUAGGUUUGAGAAGAUAGAGCUGAAAAAAAAAGUGUCGAAAUUUCCUCCUUCCUCUAUUGCUUCCCGUUAGCUCCCAAUGCAACUGCCCUUUUGUUUUCUCUUUUUCUUCAUUGCCGCUGCAACCUGCAGCCUUCUCUCUUUUUUUUUCUUUUUUUUAAUUAUUUCCGUAAAACUCCCCUUUAUUUCCUCCCCCACCGUUCCUUUAAACCAAUUCUUGCUGCAUCAUUAUCUUCUCCUUAACUCUCCCCACUAAUAGUAAUUUAGUGAUGACAAUAAGUGAGAUAAAAUGGUAAAACAAUUAUAACUCUUUGGGUAGCCUUUAUGCCAAUUACUCCCACGUAAUCCUCAUCUUUAAUUCUAUUGCCUUUGAUAUUUGAAUAGGUGUCAGCUGGCUUGUUCUUGACUGCAUCAGUUUUGGCUGCUAGAUUUAUUGGGUUUAUUGCUUUCAUUGCAUUGACAAACUGCUCAGCCUCUUGGGAACCUUUCAGUGUUAAAACGGUCAUACCUUCUUCUAGACAAAUGAUAUUAACAAUCCGCGAAAUGCUCCAGAAAAUAGACAUCUGUAGCUUUCCAAGCAUAUAAGGCUCAUUCUCUAAUUCAUUCUGAGCUAUUCGCAACUUGCUUCUAGACUCAGCUGAUCUACACAGGCAGUUUCGACGAAUUUAUUACUUAAAAUCCCACUUGUGCUAUUUUUCUUUUCUUUGCUUUACAAAUCCUACAAAACACAGAAACAAAGUAAAUAGCUCAAAAAUAUAAGGAACUAACUAAGAAACAACAAGUGAAUUUGAUGUAAAAUAUGUAUAAAUAUGAGCUUAUCAUAUGCUUAUGUGGAAGAAUGGUCAAAGUUUUAAAUUUGAAUUCAUGAUUUUUCCUAAAACAUGCCAAUGCCGUGUGUAUGUAGAGAGCAGAUCUUCUGCACCCAUUUUUGCAUGUGGUCUCUCUGUGCCUUUGUUAAUUAAACUAAACAUAAUUAAUGUUAACUUGACAAUAAUUAAAAUAAUAAAAAAUAAACCAAAUCCUCAGCCAAUUAACAAAGGCACAGAGGGACCACAGGCAUAAAUGGGUGUAGAAGAUCUGCUCUCGUGUAUGUAUGGCCUAAUUAAGACCGCUAGGCCAUAAUUAGGCCUUCAUUUUCAACUAUCUAUUAAUUAGGACCGUUGGGCCUUCAUUUUCAACUGUCUAUUUGGUCCUGGGUGUAAACUUUUUUCCUUCGCGAUCCUUCCUUCCGGGUCCUAGUGUAAGUUAAAAAUAGUAAUUCGCUGGAACACGCCAAUACUCCAUUACGUCAAUUCAGGAUUUUUCCUGGAACACGCCAAUACUCCAUUACGUCAAUUCAGGAUUUUUCCUGGAACAUGCCACAUGAUUAUAAUUUCCUUGACUUUAGGUCAGCGUGGAAGAUGGCAAGGAAACUGCUACGCAUAUUGUGAAGUGUAGAAAAGAGGCCUUAUCAUAAGUUCAUAACACAAGAGAUGGAUCAGUCUUUGACAUUUAAUCUCUCAGCAUCUCAUCCUUUUCAGUAAUCGAACGAUCAUGGAUUCAACGACCAAUGAAGGAGCCUCUUCCUCUUCGUCUUCUUCUUACACCCAUUCAUGGACAUAUGAUGUCUUCCUCAGUUUUAGAGGAGAGGAUACCCGCUACAAUUUUGUAGGUCAUCUGUACAACAAUUUGGUUCAGAAGGGAUUCAAAACCUUCAUAGACGACGAGGCGCUUAAAAGAGGAGAGGAAAUAUCGUCGGCACUUCUCAAAGCAAUCGAGCAGUCGAGGAUUUCUGUUGUUGUCUUCUCCGAAAACUACGCUUCCUCACGGUGGUGCUUAGAUGAACUCGUUCACAUCUUUCACUGUAAAGAACAACUGCAGCAGAUGGUUUUUCCAGUUUUUUACAAGGUGGAUCCAUCGGAUGUGAGGAACCAAAGAAAGAGCUUCGGUAAGGCACUUGUUGACCAUGAAAGCAAACUCAAAGAUAACAUGGACAAGGUGUUGAGAUGGAGAGAAACUCUUACAAAAGCAGCAAAUUUGUCUGGCUGGUCAUUCCUGGCCGACGGGUAUUUUUCUGACCUCUAUGUACUAAUAAGCUUCAAUUCAUAAGCAUAAUAUGAAGUUUUUUAGUCAAAAUGGUUUUUCUAAGAUAGCGUAACUCUUUACUUUGUUCUUUAAAUUUUAAAAUCGAUAAAAGUAGUUCUUGAGAUUGUCCAUUGUUAAUCAUUUUAGUUAUUCCGUAAAAAAAAUCUCUCUUAAAUUGAGCGUAUUUUUGUCAAAUCAAUCACUCCACUUGAACUGAUGGUUUCUCCAGCUUAGCUGAGAUUUCUCAGGUAAUGACCAAAGUGAUUAACGGUGGACACUCUCAAGAACCACUUUUAAAAAUUUUAAAUUUCAGUGACCAAAAUAAAGAGUUAUAACAAUUUCAGCAACUAUUUUAGUUAAAAUGACUAACAUAAAUAUAUAAUAUUUGAGAAAUGCUAAGGAAACCCUUUCAAAGUGGAACUCUCUUCAUGAGCUCUCACACACCUCAUAGUUUAAUGUUAGUUCCUUUGCCAACAUUAUAAAAUAUUGUGACAAAAAAUGAGGUGGCAAAAAGUUCAUAGAAAGUAUCACUUUUGAGAAAUUAUCCUUAGCAUUUUUCAUAUUAUUUUGAUAUUAUUCCCUCACAAUAUUAUAGGAAAACUUGUUUAAGUUAUUCAUUAUUAGUAUGUGAAGCAAACACAUAUUGGAGAAUAUAAUCUCACAUCGGUCAUAUGAUAAAAUAAUAUAUAACAAAUAUAUGAGAGUUUGCACUCCUAAUAGAGAAUUUUUGUAGUAAAAUCUCAUACCGAGUAGUAGGAGAUUAAAUUGAGACACUAUUGGUAAUUUUGAUGGUAAAUCAUGUUUGGCCUAUAAAAUUUAUCAACACAUAGCUAAACGCCAUUCAUCUAUACUUAAUAUAUAAUGCCAACAACUCAUUUGGGGUCACGGACUUCACCAAAAAGAAUGAAACACAAAUGGACCCCCCCCCCCUUCUCCAAACAAAAAAGUUCAAAACCAGCCCAAACGAAUGCAUAAAAUAGUGCAGAGGCAAUUUUGUCAUAAAAAGAAUUUUUUUUAUUUUUUUUUUAUGAUUAGUAUCUUACUAUUACGUGGAAUAUCCAGGGGUUUCUUCUAGCAUAGUAUAAUAUUAUUCAUUUAGUUCAAAUAUUUGACUUUCUUUCUCUUAAGUAGAGAGUUGUCUGUCUGCAAUUGAAAUAUUACAUGGAACAUCCACGGAUUUCUUCUAGUUUAAUUAUAAUAAUGUUCCUUUUUAUGCUUUUAAACUUGUAGGCAUGAAUACAAAUUUAUUCAAAAAAUUGUUGAAGAUAUUUCGGUCCAAGUUUUAGAUAGUACCUAUUUGGAUGUGGCAAAGUAUCCAGUUGGAAUAGAUUUCGAGCAGCCGGAAACUCCGAUAAGCUGGAAGACGUGUUUGCAGAAGAUGUUUGAAAUAGUUUGCAAUUUCUUAGGCGUUUUGUAUGUCAUCAUCUUCCUACUAAUUUGGGUCAUCUUCGUAGUAUUUUGGGUCCGUGGCGCCGUACGCGAAGGUUUUUUUAGGAGUUUUUUUCAAUAAAUUAUAAGAGACUUGUCGCAUACUUAAAUUAACAUACAUUAUAUCUUUGUUUCUUAUGUUUUCAUUAUAUUCCAGCAUUCAUCAUAUAUAUAUCAUUCUAUUUUGUAGUUUAUGAUGCAAUAAUAUAUUUUAAGUAUAAGCAGACAUUUAUUUACAUGAAAUAUAAUAGAUUUAUAAGUAUAAGCAGACAAAAUAGAGACUUGUCUGCUUAGGUGUUCCCCUAGCUGCCUAGGCGCUAGGUUUUAAUCCACCGCCCGACUAGCGCCUAUCGUCUUUUAGAACCUUGGUUAUAGUAGUGGUGGGAGUUUAAUAGGCGUAUGCCUAGCCUAUGGAGCUCGUGAAAAAAAAAGGAUAAUUUUUAUUUUGUAUUUCAAUUUUUUAAUAAAAUCUAAGGGACUUUUGAAUACUUUGAUAAACAUUUAUUAUAUGGUUGCUCACUAUGUUUUCAGUAUCUUAUAAUACUUUAUAAUUUAUGUUAUUUUAAUUUGCAAUGUAUGUAUCUCAAUAUAAUUAUGUAUUUUGAAAUAGACCCCGUUAUGCACUAUUGACUUGGUAAUUUGAAUCAAAUCCACACCAUCUCAAUAAAAUUCCAAUCUAUCCCAAUACAUUUGGGUCAAAAAGUUGGAGUUGCAAAGCACAUCAAAGACAUAGUUUGGCCUAGUGGGUCUCAAUUUUUUUUGGCCCAGCCCUUUAUCAAAAAUGAAUUUUGUGUUAAAACGGAUUAUGUUUUGACAUAUAGUCAUUUAGCCGGCUCGGUUGGAAAUAGCUCUAGCUUUGUUAUUUUAGGCUCACAUCCAAUUUUCGCAAUGACCCUCUACCGUUUACAAAAGUUCACCAAAUUUACAUUGGCAACAAAAACACACCAAAACCAACACCCGCCAAAAUUACCGUAAACUCCCUCCAUGACAACUCUAACUGGCACAAUUUCAACGAAAGUAAUAUAUCUCCCAACCCAAAUGAUAUAAUAAAGUAAUUCGGGAUAUAAAUUAUAGAAAAAGUAAUAUGAGACAUAAUAUAGAAGGUAAAAUUAGAAAUUUUGUGGAAGUAGAGGAUCAUAAAUAAAAUCUCCAAAAUCGAAUCAGUUUGAGUCCGACCGAGUCCGAGUGUUCCCAAAGAAAACGAAUAACCCGGUUCAUGAUGAGAGAUUUUCAGUUCGACCAAAACAUGAGCCAUACACUACAUGUCACUAUAUAAAUGAUAAUAUAUGUGUUAAAUAAUUAAUAACUUAAAAAAUAAAAUUUUCUACCACUUGCAUAAAAAUACAUGAUCAUCCCGUAUUCCUAUCGUAAUAAAUAUUAGAAACCGCAGGAGUUGCCAUUUCCGACGAUCGAAUGCUUUAGAGAGGGAGAGAAAGAUGGCGCGACAAGAAAGCAAAGAGCCUUGCAAGAAAGAAGCCUGCAACAUUCAAGCAUGCCUCUCCAAGAACAACUUCCUCCCUCAAAAGUACGCCCCUCCGUCCUCUUUUUCCUCCUCUUCUCAUUAUUAUUAUCUGUAUCACUUGUUUGGUUUAUGAGAAAACAUUGUUUGGUUGCCGAGAAAAUAGAGGAACAUUUUUACCGUCUCCAUUUUCUUUCCCAAGAGUGAAG
rnacentral:lncRNA from 1 species